AGGUUAAUCCAUCUGAAGCUCUGCAGGCUGAAGUCCUAUUAUGCUGCAGUGAAUGGGAUCAGGGAUGGACAGUAGAGGACAAGACAGAUAAGAUGAAGCUUCAACAUGACAUCAUGACCGAAGACGGAUCGAAAACAGAGAGCUUGUCUGCUCCUCCACCUGUCCAAGCAGUAAGUGACCUGCAGGUGUGUGCUUCUCCAGCUAAACCAAAGUCGUCUUAACCACAUACACCAGCCCUUACACUCCUCCUUACCCCACCCUGAUCAACUCCAGCUAUCCAGUUUUUCCAGGUGUACCCGUUAUUCCAGUCCAGCCCCAGCUCUCCCACUCCAUGAUGCAAUUGUUCAGCAGUCCAGUGCAUCUGGGAGCGGGUCCAAACAGUCCGUUCCAGCACCACAUAUCUCAGAUAGCUCUGAGACCAGCUGCGCACCUGUCUGCCCGGGCCAACAUCCUACACUGGCGCUCCAGUCACAGAGCCGGACAGUCCAGAAGCGCUACGUGUUUUGUACUCUUGUCAUCUUCAGUAACUUUUGUUCUUUCGUUUCUUUGGCUGCAACUUCCUAAAAGUAAAUCAAAUGAUAUAUAAGAAAAGCAGUGACACGUCAAAGCAGAUACAUCUCUUAUUCUUUUUUAGCGCAAUAUAUCUCCAGUAGCGCAUUGUUCUUUAUUUUUAUGUAUUUGAAUGUAUAGUGCUAAAGUGCUUAACCCCUGCUUUUUUUCUUUUAUGUACCUUCAAUCAAUUCCGCCCACUGGUUUUCCACUUUUUGGAAUAUUUAGUUUGACCCAACAUUCAACGUGGGAGGAUCCUUUGCUCCACUGAGCAUGUUGAAAUAUUAAAUUACUCAAAGAGGAUGUUGUGUAACCAAGUGCAUCCAUAACAUGACACAAAAACAGCGGAGCCAAGGAAAGGGUAAAGGUUGGCAGCGCUCCGCUGUUUCUGAAUCUUCCUUGUUUAGUCCAAUUAC